rnacentral:rRNA from 1 species
AUUGAACGCUGGCGGCAUGCCCUACACAUGCAAGUCGAACGGUAACAGGUCUUCGGAUGCUGACGAGUGGCGAACGGGUGAGUAAUACAUCGGAACGUGCCUAGUAGUGGGGGAUAACUACUCGAAAGAGUGGCUAAUACCGCAUGAGAUCUACGGAUGAAAGCAGGGGUUCGCAAGACCUUGUGCUACUAGAGCGGCCGAUGGCAGAUUAGGUAGUUGGUGGGAUAAAAGCUUACCAAGCCGACGAUCUGUAGCUGGUCUGAGAGGACGAUCAGCCACACUGGGACUGGGACACGGCCCAGACUCCUACGGGAGGCAGCAGUGGGGAAUUUUGGACAAUGGGCGCAAGCCUGAUCCAGCAAUGCCGCGUGCAGGAUGAAGGCCUUCGGGUUGUAAACUGCUUUUGUACGGAACGAAAAGCCCUGGGUUAAUACCCUGGGGUCAUGACGGUACCGUAAGAAUAAGCACCGGCUAACUACGUGCCAGCAGCCGCGGUAUAC